rnacentral:lncRNA from 1 species
CUCUUCUGUGCUCGGAGGCUUGAGCAGCAGAACCAUCAAGGCCUGAUAUUUUUCUUCGUGGUUGAUGGUUAGGAACAAUUUGAUCCUGCAUCCAAUCUAAGGUAAGUUGCUUCUAUGAAUUCGUUCGUUGUUAUUGUAAUGUAGUUGCAGCAAUAUAGUAUUCAUUGUUGAGGUUAUGUUUUUAGUUUUAAUGGAUCUAGUUGCUCUGGUUUGAUCGAUUAUUGAAUCUGCUGUUCUGCAGUUAUUUUACCUCUAGACUAGAACUUCAGUAUCAAAUGUAAAAAAUCUGUGAUCUAGUUUCAUUGAAGGAUAUAUGUUAUGUGCUUCAUCAAAAAGGUUAGAUUAUGUAGCACCCGUCAUGACACUUUCCGAAAAGGCAGUAGUGCUAGCGCAAAACAAUCAGGAAAACAUCAUUUUUGAGGCUGAGUUGGCCUUUUGAAUUGUCUCUUUUGUUUUCAACGUUUUAUUGCUUCUUGAUAGUUUAGUUUUUUUUUCGGAUGAAGGGUACUUAGUUAUAAUAAUGGAUGGUUACGUGCAAAACUCUUGCAGAGGCCAGAAUAUAAGUGCUGCUCCGUAAGCUGUUAUAUCUUGUGUAUACGAAACGCGCAGGUCUCUUCCGUUCUCGUCUAUCAGUGGGCCAUUAUCUCACAGAUGUGAGAAACGAUACAAACUCAACAUGACAUAAAGCCACAAACAGUGUAUCGCUCCCAUAUAAUACCAUCUCGUUAAUUGAAGGAUGACAUGCGACUGAGUGAGCUAUUAAUAAAGAGGGUCGAGCUCAUUUUUAACUCAUAUAUUUCUUGACCUUUUGACUAAGAUAAAGUGUAAUAUACUAAUAUUUGUUCUUAUCCGUUUAAUAUAUGGUAUGUGGAUCAUUUGCUCAUUUUAAUAUUAAAUUUAUUUUUAGGGGUAUUUUUUGUGGGGAAGUCUACCGUACUAGCUUACUAAGUCGUUCAUCUGUUGCACUGCUGGUAGAACAUGGUCCAUCCCAAUCAAUACCAUCAAAUAUAAUUGUCACCAGUUUCAUGCGUCGUGUGUAGGUUUGUUUCUCUAUCCUGUUUCUCGCCUAUCAGUAGACUUGUUACCCACAGAUGGAUCGUGAGAAACCAUUCAAGUCCAACAUAAUAGAAAGUUGCACGCAACACAACGCUUUCACAUAGUACCACCCUACUAGCUUACUAGACCCUCGUGUGUCGUUCAGCCGUUACUACUGGUAGGACAUGGUCCAUCCCAACCAAUACCAUCAAAUAUAAUUGUGUGCCACCAGUUUCACACGUCGUGUGUAGGUUUGUUUCUCUAUCCCGCUUCUCGCUUAUAAGUGGACCGUUACCCCAUAGAUGUGUUGUGGGAAAACACCCAAGCCUAACAUAAUAGAAAGUCAUAUGCAACACAGCAACACAACACUUUCAUAUAGUACCACCCUACUAGCUAAAGGAGGAAGAGCGAGCUAUAAUAAAGGGCUCGGGUUCCUUUUCAAGUUUCAACUCAUACUUUUCUUGACCUUUUGUUUAAGAUAAUUUUAAUAUUUAUUCUUGUCGGUUUAAUAUAUGAUAUAUUGACUCUAUGUUCAUUUUAAUAUUAAAUUUAUUUUUAUGGUUAUUUUUAAGAUGGUCCACUAUACUAGCUUAUUAAUUUAUUUUUAUGGUUAUUUUUAAGAUGGCCCACCAUACUAGCUUAUUAAUUUAUUUUUAUGGUUAUUUUUAAGAUGGUCCACCAUACUCCAUACUAGCUUAUUAAGGUCCUUACAUGUCAUUCAGCCGUUGCACUGUUGGGGUAGGGUCUAGCCACUAAAUCAAUACCAUCAAAUAUGAUUGUGUGUGUCAAAACACACGAUCAUUGUACUAGUAAUGUUAUUAUAUGACAUCAUGUAACCAAUUAGGCUCCUAGAGUUCUCAAGCCAUCUAGGAUUUAUGUCAUAUUCUUGUUGCUAGGGUAAUGAUAGAUUUAAAUCUUAAUUGAAACUGCAAGGUAAUGUUUGUGGUUUCUAUUUUCUGUGACCUGAUUAUUAUUGAAGUUUCUGUUGGUUCAGUCAACAGUGAACACGUGUAGUUAUUAGCAAUUUAGAUCAAUAAUCUUUACAGCAAAAUGGAUCAAGACCCCAGAACUUAGUUAUCUCAAUCACCAUUGUCUCACCCAAUCCACAAAUCUUUAAACAGGAGUAUCAGGGAAGCCUUGCAUUUACUACAAGAGGGGCAGUCGUAGAAUCCAAUGAAAAAUUCUGGGUUUGCUAUAAAAUACAAAAGGUGCAACUGUAAUUACCUAAUCUGCAGUAACUAAGUUCACCAAAGUGUUGUAGGGCUGUUAUAUACCAAACAAGAAAUACAUUUUGGCCCUUUAACUUAAACACAUAGACAUAUCGACUUUUUCUUGGCAUCGCCUCAUCUUUUCUGUGCAACCAUGGAAUUGAAUGAACAAAUGACUUGUUGCAGUGCACCUCAUGGAAUCUGACAUCAACUUGAAACUUGCUAAACCUCUUGAUCCCACUAAUCAUGCAUAAGCCAACAGAGCAGCCAAGGCAACCCAGAAUACCAAGAAUGGGAGUGCCAAUGGUUUUGUUAGAGGGCUUGCAUUCGGCAGCCAUGGAUAAUUUUCAGGAGAUGGCAUGACACAAUUAUCACCAUUGAAGUAAACUCGGCGUGGGAAGGCCCAUCCCUUUUCGAAAGUGAAAGUCCGGGAGUCCUUGCGGAGAAGCAGCUCUGAUUGCACAUUCCCAAGUUUGCCGGCUUGCAUCAGCAGAUCAUUGUAGAAUUUUACACCCCAGAACAUUGCCGUAUCAUCUGAAAUGGGACAGAUAAAUUACAUCAGGAGGUAGGUUGCUUUAUUUUUGUUCUUUUCUAUAAGGAUGGCAAGUUUACUUACUUAUGCCACCACCAUAUGGAGUAAGUGGUUUGUAGUUGAAGCUGAACAACUGAGUGAUAUUAUCAAAGUUUGGAUGCUGGGCUACUAAGUUCCACUGCGUGUAAUUCAUGCGGAAGUUGAAGUUUGUGAUAGUGAUUUUCACUCUCCAGUAAUCCUUGUAGUUGAGCUUCACAUGCCAGUGGAUUCUUAUCGGGCACAUGUGGGAAGUGCAUUGUACAAGGGGCUGACCAGUCCAUUUGCCAGGGCCAUCAAUUGCAGCUUGUAGAUUAGGUGAAUCCUCACUGCAAAAUGCAAUAGAAUUCAUUUAAAAACUUUAGAUAAAAAAUAGAACCCUAAUAGGACAUGAAUUAAGAGCAAAAGGCAGAUCAACUCACUUCACACAGUUUGACCCACUUGGGUUCUGGCAGCCACAUGAGCAUGUUGGGCAGUUCACAAUUGUGUCAUUAUAAAACGAUGAUAGAGAUACACAGCAGGAUGGAGUCUUCUGAGCAAGAAAUUGGGAAUAUGUGCAGGUCACAUUCCAUGUCACUGCAGAUAAAGAAUGUCUCUGUUAAGAACCCUCUCUGCUAUAAAAUCUAGACAAAAGUGCAACUUGUAUGGAAUUCUUCCUAGGACUAUCUGCGAUUAGAAUAUAUUAUUUUGUGAAGAACAAACAAAAAAGAAGAAAAGAGACUGCAUUUUUUGUUGAUCCUAGUAGUAACUUAUUGUCAGCAAAUAUCAAUUAGCAUUAAUCCUUUGUGAACAAAUUCCUCUUGUUAGAUUGUUUCCAUUUUUACUAGCCUGGCAACUAAUGUAACCUGAAAAUUUGGAAUCAUGGUCAAGGAACAGGAACACACUAAAUAAUAUGAUGUAGCUGUACCUCACCUCCAGAACAUACAUAAGCAACUGAUAGCAAGUAAAAUGUAAAAAUUCAGUACAUGGGCAACUUACUUAGAGCUUGGGUUGCCCUGCGCCCGUCCGCGGUGAAAAACUUCGUAGGCCUGCCAACAAUGGCACGCCCACAUGUGUACCCAGGGCCUGGAGUCUUAAGAGUGAAGUUCCUGGGCACCUUAACAGUUUUAUUGGUAGUUCCAGCAAGACCAACACUGAUCUGGAAGGAGGAAGCAGCAUUUGCUGGGUCCUGGUUAAAGGUAUUUACAACUCCUGCCUUGCAGCAAUUGGCAAUUUGCAUGUUGUAUGGAGUGCCUGGAAGUAAAUCGACAAUUGUUGGAUCUUUCUUGCAGCAAUGGGGUGGGCUGCUCUUGAACUUUGAGCAGUCGCCCUGUUCAGUGGUCUGAGCCCCAACCAUUGACCAUAUAACCUCCUUCUUUGCCCAUGUCCACCCAAGCUGCCAACCAGGUGCGCCGAUAUGCCGAAAUUGUUGAUAAUUAAACAUUGUGACAACAGCCUGCAGGAGGUAUUUUAUGGGAAAUCAGGAACCAUGUAUGCAUAGCAUGCUUCUUCUGACAUAAAUUUGGGGAUGAUGUUCUUGUUGUCUGUGAUGUAUGUUUCUAGUUCAGCCAUUGGCCAUGUUACAUAACUUAUAUUGUACAGGUCGACUGGACUACUCAAUAGAAUAGACCAGGGCCUGCUAGGCUGGAGAUGAAAUAUAUACAGCUGUUGGGGUGGGCAUUCUACUUACGACAUAUCCAUCAGGAGUCCACUGCAUGAUAUCCCAUUUUAUGGUGAUGUUGCCAUUUGGAUCCAGCGAAUCAUAAGCCUCUGCAGAGAGCGAUCACAGGGUUCACAUCAAAACACAGAUCCCAAUUAUAGAAGGAUGAAUAAUGAAUUCACACAAUACAUGGAGUCUAUUUACGUUCCAUGUCUUAGUUUGGCACUGGAUCCCUUAAUGGUGAACUAUAAUUAAGUAAGAUCUUGGACAGCUUCUUCACUUCCUGAACAGAUCUACUACCAGGUAUGAGGUAUGGAGCAGAUCGCGACAGGUUGAACAGACAGUGGAGCUAGUUAAAUAAGCCUGAGAUGGCAGCUCCAUGUAUAGUUGCAGGAAGCUAAGCCUACUUAAUUGGAUUCAUAGCUGAGGCAAGCUCGAAAGAUCGAGCUGAGCUGAAUUGGAGUGCAGUGGGACCAAAACUAGAAGCCACCGACGCUGCACUGGAGCCACCGACACUGACAGUGUCAGCGCGCAGCGGAAGCAUCAUCACAGCUCGCCGAGCUCCGUUGCAUCAGACGCAACGGCGAUUGGGCGGGGGAUCUAACCAGCUUCGAACUUCGCGCGCAAACGAGAGAGGCGUAGGGAGACGGACGAGGAGAAGCGAAGAAGCCGAAGUGCCGAACCUGUUGCAGUCGGUGCGGAGAGGAGCAACGCGGCCGCGAGCAGCGCGGCGGCACAGCACGCGACGGAUCUGCCGCUCGCCGCCAUUCUUCCUUGCCACCCGCCGCCUAACCGACACACGCGGUCUCCCACCGACAGAUAGAUACAGAGCCGCGCCCGCCCGCCCGCCCGUCCGUCUACCCGACGAUCUUGCUCCGUAGUGCGGCGGCUACGGUUGCGGCCGAGGGGAGGAAUGGGGGCGGUGGGGAGGAGGGCGGAGAUCUGGGGAGGUGGGGAGUGGGACUUAAAGCAUGUGCGGCAGGCAGCGGCCGCGUCUCCCUCCCCUCCUCUUCCCCGUAUUUUACUGCAGCGGAAGCAGCAGCACGAGACACUCUUCCGCAGCGCUGCUUCCUUCCGCGGCCAGUGGGUUAUAUCGGGGAUGGUUUGUUGCCGCGAGGGGUAGAUGUGACACCUCAACCUCCGGCCUGGAUUUACGAGAAUGCCCUUGGUGACACAGCUGUCGGUGAUGUUCGCUUAGGGACAAGGACAUGUGAUUAACGGUAGUGAAAACUGGUAAUCUAGCCCUGUUUUGCAGUUGCAGCUACUAUGGGCAAGGACAGGUGAUUGACGGUAUGAGGAAACUAACAAUCACACACGACUAUAGAUGGCCAAUAAGCACGAGGCCAGCGAGCCCGACACGAAGCCCGCUGUUUAGGUCCGGUCCGAGCCCGACACGAAUAAGCACGGUGGGCUAACCCGGCACGGCCCGUUUACCUCUAAGCACGUUAAUCCCGUUUUUUUCCACUAAAACGUGUUUUUCGGCCCGCUUAGCCCGCUUUCGGCCCGGCUCAAAACGGACCAGGCUUCACCGGGCCCAGGCCGGUUCGGGCCGGGCGGCCCGUUUGGCCAUCUCUACACACGACUGCUCGAGAGGGUUCAGAUCAUAAUGCCGGGAUACGAGGUGUCGGAUACUGGCGUACAGGUGUGAGUUUUUGACGUUUAAUAGGGUCCUUUGUUUUAAGGAAUUACUCUAUCUAAAAUGAAAUAAUGUAUCAUAUGUCCAUUCCUUAAUAGCGUGUUUGGUUUAAGAAGUGAGGUAGUAAAUCAUCUUCUCACUUCUCACUUUUUUGUUUGGUUUGUGGAAUGAAAUUAGUUGAUUCAUCAUCAUUCCAUUCCUUAUAGUAUAAUAAUUAGUAAUAAUAUAAGGAGUGGGCUCAUUCCACUAAAUUUGUGGAAUCACCUCAUGACGCGUCACUUCAUUUAGAAUAGAUUGAUUCUUCAAACCAAACACCUCAUAAAUUUAGUAGGAUGAUUCUAUUCCUCAAAUUAAUAUUAACUAACUAUCAUGAGGAAUGAGGUAGUGAUGGAUCAACUUAUUUCAUUCUACAAACCAAAAAAAUGAGGAGUGGAAAAUGAUGGACUAACUCAUUUAUUAAACCAAACACCCCAUAAAUAUCUCAAUCCAUAAAUCUAACAAUACAUCAGGGACACAAGAGGCUCGGAAGAGUUGCCAAUCGUCGGUUACUCCAUAACAAACGGAUUGUUCGCUUCAGAUUAAAACCAGCUAUUCAGACUACUGCAACUAUAAUCCAUAGAGGUACGGAUUAAUCGAACAGGGCGAAAAUUUAUCUAUGUAUCUCAUGAUUCUGGAGGUGACGAAUGAGUUCGAAUUUUUAAAUUAGUGUCCAUUAUGUUACUUUUAAAAACCAACAUAUGACCAUCAUCUGAGGAGUGUUGUCAGUCAGCUACAGCCAGCGAGUCCCGGUCACCAGAGGGCAAAACCGGAACGAUCAAUCAGUGGCAAGCUUUACGAGCUAGUUUAAGAAAUGAGUAAUGACAGAGCGCCAUGGCCCACGAGGAGAGGCUAAACGCACACAUGCGAGCCGAGCCGACACUGCAGGGAAUAAAAGAAACGCGGGACGACAGAGCCCUUCCUCCCUCUUUCUGUCGGUGGGGGCGAAAAGAGAGAGACACACAGAGAGAGGGAAGAAAAUUCGCACGCUGAGCUGAGACGAGGCGAGCGCGUGAGCCCGGUCCAUCAACCAACGCUGUAGACCCCAUCGCCCGUCGCGACGGUAGGUGCUGCAACCUGGACGUACCAACAACCCGUGGCGACCAUGCGAGACAUUAACAACAAUAAGUUUUUUUACUUUAUUUUAUUCUUUAAUUAAUCGGUAUCGGCAUCAAGAUCUCCAGCUGUAGUGUAGUACCGUAGUCUGUGGGCCAGCUCCAACAACCCCUGUGCAUCCCUCUGCCAUAGCGCCUAGCGGGAGCAAGAAACGAGUGCAGCUUGCAGCCGGGGAAACUGAUGCAUAGUGGGUGGGGCCUGCAUGUUAGCGAGUGGAAAGGACUGCCGGUGGACAGCUUGGUUGCUUAAACGUCUGCAUGGCUGGAUGUAUUAGGAGAUAUAGCCUGUGCAUGGUCAUGUCAUGUCCUUUAUGUAGGGAGGCCAUUAAUUUAUAUUUACACACUAGUUUCUCGAGGAAAUAUUAGAUCAUGAUUGAAGGUCAGGCAGGCCCAGGCUCGUGUCCAAUAAAACUCAAAAAAAUGAUACUUGAAUUCUCUCAUCCUCCAUUUGAAUGUGGAUAUUGGAGGGCGAUGAAUUAAAUUGAUUUCAAUACCAAAUUCUCUCAUGCUCCAUUUGGAUGACAGAAGCACGUUUCUGCUCAAGAAUAGCAGACGCAAGCUUCCUGUCGGAAAUAGUUGUUUCCCCCAAGAUUAGCAUUGGUAUUAACUUCACAAAUACCAACAAGUUUGCGAACCAGUGGCUGUUGCCGCUUUCAUCUUUCAAGAGGAGCUCAUCGGUGAUCACUUGGCGUCACGCAGUCACGCUUGCCGUCCUGCGGUUGCAUUAGCACAUCGUUGUUAAGACUUUACACCCGAGAACGUUGCUACGUACGUCGUCUGAGAUGGGACAAUAAAUUGGGAAUAUGUAUGUACAAUGAUUCUAGCUCGUAACUGAUUUCCGCAAACCCUAUCAAAGAGAAAUGAUAGCAAGCAAAAUGUAAGGCUCGCUGAGCUGGAAGGUGGAAGCAGCAUUUGAUGCAAUUGGCAAUCUGCAUGUCGUCAUAUGGUGUGCUUGGAAGUUAAGCCAACGAUCACGGGAUAUACAUAUAUAAUAUAAUAGUUUGCACUGUACAAACAGGAGAGGUCUAUUAAACAGUAAAAGAUCAGCCAGUGUUACUGUGGGAGCGGGAGUGCUACUUACGACUUCCAUCAGGAGUCCAUAGCAUAACAUCUCAUUUUAUAGUGAUGUUGCUGUUUGCAUUGGAUCUAGAGUCGUUAGCCUCUUCUUCAGAGCAAAUAAACACAUGGGGCCAUCAAAGCCGGAGAGGAUCCAUUUUGUAAAAUAAGGAAAUGAUGGCACAAUGAGUUCGGUUUUGAGCAACAAGUUGCCCCACCAAAUUUGUUCACUAAUACUUCUAGAUCUAGUUUAAGAGCGAUAAAACUGGACGGUAUUGGAGGGGCUAUAAUUUUAUUUUUAUUCAAUUUUUUAUAAGAAGGAGAUUUUAGCACCUCUAACCCCCUUCGAUUUUUUGGCUCUCAAACUAACCCUUAAGGAAUGAUUUGGUAAAUAUAAAAUUGGAGAAAACCCAUAUGGGAUAAAUCCUCCGUCACACCAGCCCUAAUGUAUGAGCCAAGUCAUGGCGAAGAGAUUGUUAUCUUGAUUGUAAUCAUAACAUUCAAAAUGGACCCCACAUGCUUAUUAUAUACUCCCUUAUUUUUUGUCUUCUCACUGGAUAGUUCAAUUUUACAGUAACAUAAGAGACGACAAAUAAAAAAAAUCGGAGGUAGUACGUAUUUGCUCUGUGUUGUAGUUACUAGUCUCAAAAUAAAAUGCACGUCUCGAAAAGUUAAACGUUUUUAGUUUGACUAGUGUUGAGCACCAGAAAUGUUCUCGCGGACGGUCUAGCUCUAAGGCCAGACAGUAGAGUCAGUUAGAGUUCCGAGUUUCUCACGUGAUUUGUUAGCUAAAAUUGCGGGAUUAGCUCGGGAAACAACUUGUAGUGGAUCCAAACCUCUCCUUUAUAUAUAUGAAGGGCUACAGCCGAUUCAACCCCUACAAUCGAUCAAAUCAAUUCUAUUUCUCGUUUUACUUAUGCAUUAGGAGUAGUUCUAGUUUAGCUCUAGGUUAACCUUUCCCUACCCCCAAAUUCUUCGCUUCUCUUCGGCUCUACGUCGAUUAGAGUUGUCUAGGGUGGCCUGCCGACCCUAGACAAAGCCUAGGAUCUCUAUUCCCCGACAGGACCCUCCCGGGAGCGAGAUUCAGGCGCCGCCACCGAACUCCGCCGCCCCUGCGCACGCGUGGACUGUUCAGCCUCUAGGCGCGGACCGUCCGGCCCAUCACGCAGGGAACCCGAGCCCUGCGCCAGGUCGCGGACCGUCCGCGCCUAUGCAGAGAGCACCACCAUAGGUUCUCAACGCACUGAUUGGCGCCAGAUCAGCGCCAACACACUUUUUUGGCGAGUUCGCUGGGGACAGGUGUCUAGAUCUACUAAAAAUUUGGACCUUAGAUGGCCGGUUCUAAAGAUCACACUGAUAUCUCCCCGGACAAUAUCCUAAAGCCGGCUGUUGAAAGUCUGACGGCCGAUGAGCAACAACAAUACGAGGACUACAUGUUUCAAGCGAAGGAGAAAUUCUUAUCACAAUUCACGGUGGAUCGCCACUAGAAAGUCGUCAAACAUGGAGAGACUGAUGUCGCGUCUCUUCUAUCUUUGCUUCAAGUCCCCAACGUAAGUAAACCUGAUGACAUCCAAUCUAUUAAACAGUACGUAGAUCAUCGGCAGAAUCAAAUGAAAUAAUAGAUUGGAGGAUUAGAAGAAUCAAUUAGAAAAUUAACGCGUACAUUGAAGAAGUCUGUUGCUCCUAGUUUUCCAUCAUAUGAAACUAGUAACAGGAAAUCUGUGUCUAAUACAUUGGCGACAAAUGGGGAUUCACAGCCCAACCAUUAUAUGGUAUGCCGAUGAACUCAUAUCCAGGAUAAAUACCACCACUGCCAUACCUGCUUGGCAGAUCGGUGCCCCUCGACACGGUCGGACCAUCCGAGCUUUUGCCCGGACAGUCCGGCCCUUGCACAGACCGUACGGCUUUCCAUGUCAGACAGUCCGGGACCACACUAGGGCUAUUGAUAGUCGCCUAGAGGGGGGGUGAAUAGGGCGAAACUGAAAUUCUUAAAAAUAAACACAACUAUAAGCCGGGUUAGCGUUAGAAAUAUAAACGAGUCCGCGAGAGAGGGCACAAAACAAAUCGCAAGCAAAUGAAGAGUGUGACACGCGGAUUUGUUUUACCGAGGUUCGGUUCUCGCAAACCUACUCCCCGUUGAGGAGGCCACAAAGGCCGGGUCUCUUUCAACCCUUCCCUCUCUCAAACGGUCCCUCGGACCGAGUGAGCUUCUUUUCUCAAAUCAAAGUCGGGAACAAAACUUCCCCGCAAGGGCCACCACACAAUUGGUGCCUCUUGCCUUGAUUACAAUGGAGUUUUGAUCACAAGAAUAAGUGAGAAAAAAAAGAAGCAAUCCAAGCGCAAGAGCUCAAAAGAACACGGCAAAUCUCUCUCUCUAAUCACUAAAGUCUUGAGUGGAAUUUGAGAGGAUUUGAUCUCUUUGUACGUGUCUAGAAUUGAAUGCCUAGAUCUUGUAAGUGGUUGAGAAGUGAGAAACUUGGAUGCAAUGAAUGGUGGGGUGGUUGGGGUAUUUAUAGCCCCAACCACCAAACUUGACCGUUGGUGGAGGCUGUUUGUCGAUGGCGCACCAGACAGUCCGGUGCACACCGGACAUGUCCGGUGCCCCCGCCACGUCAUCACUGCCGUUGGAUUCUGACCGUUGGAGCUUCUGACUUGUGGGGCCCCCUGGCUGUCCGGUGCACACCGGACAUCUCCUGUUCAUUGUCCGGUGUGCCAGUAUGGGCGCGCCUGACUUCUGCGCGCGCGCAGCACGCAUUAAAUGCGCCGCAGGUAGCCGUUGGCGCCGAAAUAGCCGUUGCUCCAGAGUUGCACCGGACAGUCCGGUGCACACCGGACAUGUCCGGUGAAUUAUAGCGGACUAGCCGUUGGAGAUUCCCGAAGCUAGCGAGUUCCUGAGGCCGCUCUUCCUUGGCGCACCGGACACUGUCCGGUGUACACCGGACAGUCCGGUGAAUUAUAGCGCGAGUGCCUCUGGAAAUUCCCGAAGGUGGCGAGUUCGAGUUGGAGUCCUCUGGUGCACCGGACAUGUCCGGUGGUGCACCGGACACUGUCCGGUGGCACACCGGACAGUCCGGUGUGCCCGACCAGAGGUGCCUUCGGUUGGCUCUUUGCUCCUUUGUUGAAUCCAAAACUUGAUCUUUUUAUUGGCUGAGUGUGAACCUUUUACACCUGUAUAAUCUAUACACUUGGGCAAACUAGUUAGUCCAAUUAUUUGUGUUGGGCAAUUCAACCACCAAAAUCAAUUAGGGACUAGGUGUGAGCCUAAUUCCCUUUCAAUCUCCCCCUUUUUGGUGAUUGAUGCCAACACAAACCAAAGCAAAUAUAGAAGUGCAUAAUUGAACUAGUUUGCAUAAUGUAAGUGUAAAGGUUGCUUGGAAUUGAGCCAAUAUAAAUACUUACAAGAUAUGCAUGGAUCGUUUCUUUCUUAUUUAACAUUUUGGACCACGCUUGCACCACAUGUUUUGUUUUUGCAAACUCUUUUGUAAAUCCUUUUCAAAGUUCUUUUGCAAAAUAGUCAAAGGCAAAUGAAUAAGAUUUUGAGUAGCAUUUUCAAGAUUUGAAAUUUUCUCCCCCUGUUUCAAAUGCUUUUCCUUUGACUAAACAAAACUCCCCCUAAAUGAGAUCCUCCUCUUAGUGUUCAAGAGGGUUUUGAUAUAUCAUUUUUGAAAUACUACUUUCUCCCCCUUUUGAACACAAUGGGAUACCAAUUGAAAAAUAUUCUUUGAAAAAACUAAGUUUUUGAAAUUGGUGGUGGUGCGGUCCCUUUGCUUUGGGCUCAUACUUUCUCCCCCUUUGGCAUGAAUCGCCAAAAACGGAGUCAUUAGAGCCCUCGAAGUGCUAUCUUUCCCUUUGGUCAUAAAUAAAUGAGUUAAGAUUAUACCAAAGAUGAAGUCCUUUUGCUUGGUGCUCAUGCUUUCUCCCCCAAGCGUGGAGAGUGCCACGGAGCGACGGCGGGUUACGGAGUGGAAGCCUUUGUCUGCGCCGAAGACUCCGAUUCCCUUUCAAUACACCUAUGACUUGGUUUGAAAUUCACUUGAAAAACACAUUAGUCAUAGCAUAUGAAAGAGACAUGAUCAAAGGUAUGUAAAAUGAGCUAUGUGUGCAAGUUAACAAAAGAAGUUCCUAGAAUCAAGAAUAUUUAGCUCAUGCCUAAGUUUGUUAAAAGAUUGUUCAUCAAGUGGCUUGGUAAAGAUAUCGGCUAUUUGAUCUUUAGUGUUAAUAUAUGAAAUCUCGAUAUCUCCCUUUUGUUGGUGAUCCCUAAGAAAAUGAUACCGAAUGGCUAUGUGUUUAGUGCGGCUAUGCUCGACGGGAUUAUCCGCCAUCUUGAUUGCACUCUCAUUGUCACAUAGCAAAGGAAUUUUGGUUAAUUUGUAACCGUAGUCCCGCAGAGUUUGCCUCAUCCAAAGCAAUUGCGCGCAACAAUGUCCUGCGGCAAUGUACUCGGCUUCGGCGGUGGAAAGAGCGACCGAAUUUUGCUUCUUUGAGGCCCAAGACACCAAGGAUCUUCCCAAGAACUGGCAAGUCCCCGAUGUGCUCUUCCUAUUGAUUUUACACCCCGCCCAAUCGGCAUCCGAGUAUCCAAUCAAAUCAAAUGUGGAUCCCCUAGGAUACCAAAGCCCAAACUUAGGAGUAUAAGCCAAAUAUCUCAAGAUUCGUUUUACGGCCGUAAGGUGAGCUUCCUUAGGGUCGGCUUGGAAUCUUGCACACAUGCAUACGGAAAGCAUAAUAUCCGGUCGAGAUGCACAUAAAUAGAGUAAAGAACCUAUCAUUGACCGGUAUACCUUUUGAUCCACGGACUUACCUCCCGUGUCGAGGUCGAGAUGCCCAUUAGUUCCCAUGGGUGUCUUGAUGGGCUUGGCAUCCUUCAUCCCAAACUUGUUUAGAAUGUCUUGAGUGUACUUCGUUUGGCUAAUGAAGGUGCCUUCUUGGAGUUGCUUCACUUGGAAUCCUAAGAAAUACUUCAACUCCCCCAUCAUAGACAUCUCGAACUUUUGUGUCAUGAUCCUACUAAACUCUUCACAAGUAGAUUCGUUAGUAGACCCAAAUAUAAUAUCAUCAACAUAGAUUUGGCAUACAAACAGAUCAUUCUCAAGUGUUUUGGUAAAGAGCGUAGGAUCGGCCUUUCCGACUUUGAAGCCAUUAGCAAUAAGGAAAUCUCUAAGGCAUUCAUACCAUGCUCUUGGGGCUUGCUUGAGCCCAUAAAGCGCCUUAGAGAGCUUAUAGACAUGGUUAGGGUACUCACUAUCUUCAAAGCCGGGAGGUUGCUCAACAUAGACCUCUUCCUUGAUUGGUCCAUUUAGGAAGGCACUUUUCACGUCCAUUUGAUAAAGCUUAAAGCCAUGGUAAGUAGCAUAGGCCAAUAAUAUGCGAAUUGACUCAAGCCUAGCUACGGGUGCAUAGGUUUCACCGAAAUCCAAACCUUCGACUUGGGAGUAUCCCUUGGCCACAAGUCGUGCUUUGUUCCUUGUCACCACACCAUGCUCAUCUUGCUUGUUGCGGAAAACUCAUUUGGUUCCUACAACAUUUUGAUUAAGACGUGGAACUAAAUGCCAUACCUCAUUUCUAGUGAAGUUGUUGAGCUCCUCUUGCAUCGCCACCACCCAAUCCGAAUCUUGUAGUGCUUCCUCUACCCUGUGUGGCUCAAUAGAGAAAACAAACGAGUAAUGUUCACAAAAAUGUGCAACACGAGAUCUAGUAGUUACCCCCUUAUAAAUGUCGCCGAGGAUGGUGUCGACGGGGUGAUCUCGUUGUAUUGCUUGGUGGACUCUUGGGUGUGGCGGCCUUGGUUCUUGCUCAUCCUCCUUUUCUUGAUCAUUUGCAUCUCCCCCUUGAUCAUUGCCAUCAUCAUGAGGUGGCUCAUCUUCUUGAUCUUGCCCUUCAUCAACUUGAGCUUCAUCCUCAUUUUGAGUUGGUGGAGAUGCUUGCGUGGAGGAGGACGGUUGAUCUUGUGCAUUUGGAGGCUCUUUGGAUUCCUUAGGACACACAUCCCCAAUGGACAUGUUCCUUAGCGCGAUGCAUGGAGCCUCUUCAUUACCUAUCUCAUCAAGAUCAACUUGCUCUACUUGAGAGCCAUUAGUCUCAUCAAACACAACGUCACAAGAAACUUCAACAAGUCCUGAGGACUUGUUAAAGACUCUAUAUGCCCUUGUGUUUGAGUCAUAUCCUAGUAAAAAGCCUUCUACAGUUUUAGGAGCAAAUUUAGAUUUUCUACCUCUCUUAACAAGAAUAAAGCAUUUGCUACCAAAAACUCUAAAAUAUGAAAUGUUGGGCUUUUUACCGGUUAGGAGUUCAUAGGAUGUCUUCUUGAGGAUUCGGUGUAGAUAUAACCGGUUGAUGGCAUAGCAAGCGGUGUUGACCGCCUCGGCCCAAAACUGAUCCGAAGUCUUGUAUUCAUCAAGCAUGGUCCUUGCCAUGUCCAAUAGAGUUCGAUUCUUCCUCUCCACUACACCAUUUUGUUGAGGUGUGUAAGGAGAAGAGAACUCAUGCUUGAUGCCCUCCUCCUCAAGGAAACCUUCAAUUUGAGAGUUCUUGAACUCCGUCCCGUUGUCGCUUCUUAUUUUCUUGAUCCUUAAGCCGAACUCAUUUUGAGCCCGUCUCAAGAAUCCCUUUAAGGUCUCUUGGGUUUGAGAUUUUUCCUGUAAAAAGAGUACCCAAGUGAAGCGAGAAUAAUCAUCCACAAUAACUAGACAGUACUUACUCCCGCCGAUGCUUAUGUAAGCUAUCGGGCCGAAUAGGUCCAUGUGUAGGAGCUCCAGUGGCCUGUCACUAGUCAUGAUGUUCUUGUGUGGAUGAUGAGCUCCAACUUGCUUUCCUGCCUGGCAUGCGCUACAAAUCCUGUCUUUCUCAAAAUGAACAUUUGUUAAUCCUAAAAUAUGUUCUCCCUUUAGAAGCUUAUGAAGAUUCUUCAUCCCAACAUGGGCUAGUCGGCGGUGCCAGAGCCAACCCAUGUUAGUCUUAGCAAUUAAGCAUGUGUCGAGUUCAGCUCUUUCAAAAUCUACUAAGUAUAGCUGACCCUCUAACACACCCUUAAAUGCUAUUGAAUCAUCACUUCUUCUAAAGACAGUGACACCUACAUCAGUGAAAAGACAGUUGUAGCCCAUUUUGCAUAAUUGAGAUACAGAAAGCAAAUUGUAAUCUAAAGAGUCUACAAGAAAAACAUUGGAAAUAGAAUGGUCAGGUGAUAUAGCAAUUUUACCCAAUCCUUUGACCAAACCUUGAUUUCCAUCCCCGAAUGUGAUUGCUCGUUGGGGAUCUUGGUUUUUCUCAUAGGAGGAGAACAUUUUCUUCUCCCCAGUCAUGUGGUUUGUGCAUCCGCUGUCGAGUAUCCAACUUGAGCCCCCGGAUGCAUAAACCUACAAAACAUGUUUAGUUCUUGACUUUAGGUACCCAAACAGUUUUGGGUCCUUUGGCAUUAGAUACAAGAACUUUGGGUACCCAAACACAAGUCUUGGAGCCCUUGUGUUUGCCCCCAACAAACUUGGCAACUACCUUGCCGGAUUUGUUAGUAAGCACAUAAGAUGCAUCAAAAGUCUUAAAUGAAAUGUCAUGAUCAUUUGAUGCAUUAGGAGUUUCCUUACUAGGCAACUUAGCACGGGUUGGUUGCCUAGAGCUAGAUGUCUCACCCUUAUACAUAAAAGCAUGGUUAGGGCCAGAGUGAGACUUCCUAGAAUGAACUUUCUUAAUUUUGCUCUCGGGAUAACCGGCAGGGUACAAAAUGUAACCCUCGUUAUCCUGAGGCAUGGGAGCCUUGCCCUUAACAAAGUUAGACAAGUUUUUAGGAGGGGCAUUAAGUUUGACAUUGUCUUCCCUUUGGAAGCCAAUGUCAUCCUUGAUGCCAGGGCGUCUCCCAUUAUAGAGCAUACUUCUAGCAAAUUUAAACUUUUCAUUUUCUAAGUUAUGCUCGGCAAUUUUAGCAUCUAAUAUUGCUAUAUGAUCAUUUUGUUGUUUAAUUAAAGCCAUGUGAUCAUGAAUAGCAUUGAUAUCAACAUCUCUACAUCUAGUACAAAUAGAAGUGUGCUCAACGGUAGAUGUAGAGGGUUUGCAAGAUUUUAAUUCUACAACCUUAGCAUGCAACAUAUCAUUCUUAGUUCUAAGGUUGGAAAUAGUAGUAUUGCAAACAUCAAAAUCUUUAGCCUUAGCAAUCAAAUUUUCAUUUUCUACUCUAAGGCUAGCACGAGAAUCAUUCAAUUCCUUAAUCUUAGCAAGCAAAUCAUCAUUAUCAUUUCUAAGAUUGGGAAUUGAAGCAACACAAACAUGAGAAUCAAUCUUAGCAAUUAAUCUAGCGUUUUCAUUUCUAAGGUUGUCUAUAGUCUCAUGGCAAGUGCUUAGCUCACUAGACAAUUUUUCAUAUUUUUCAACUUGUUGAGCAUAAGCAUUUUUAACCUUAACAUGCUUUUUAUUUUCCUUGAUUAGGAAGUCCUCUUGGGAGUCCAAGAGAUCAUCCUUCUCAUGGAUGGCACUAAUUAAUUCAUUUAAUUUUUCCUUUUGUUGCAUGUUAAGAUCGGAAAAAAGGGUACGCAAGUUAUUCUCCUCAUCACUAGCAUUAUCAUCACUAGAGGAUUCAUAUUUAGUGGAGGAUUUAGAUUUAACCUUCUUCUUUUUGCCGUCCUUUGCCAUGAGGCACUUGUGGCCGACGUUGGGGAAGAGGAGUCCCUUGGUGACGGCGAUGUUGGCGGCAUCCUCAUCGGAGGAGGAGUCGGUGGAGCUCUCGUCGGAGUCCCACUCGCGGCACACGUGGGCAUCCCCGCCUCUCUUCUUGUGGUACCUCUUUUUUUCUUUCCUCUUUCCCUUCUUGUCGUUAUCCCUGUCACUGUCACUUGAUAAUGGACAUUUAGCAAUAAAGUGACCGGGCUUACCACACUUGUAGCAAACCUUCUUGGAACGGGAUUUGUAAUCCUUCCCCUUCCGUUGCUUCAGGAUUUGGCGAAAGCUUUUGAUGAUUAAAGCCAUCUCCUCAUUGUCGAGCUUGGAGGCGUCAAUUGGUUGUCUACUCGGUGUAGACUCCUCCUUCUCCUCCGUCGCCUUAAUGCCACCGGUUGUGCUUCGGACGUGGAGGGUUCAUCAAGCUCGUUGAUCUUCUUGGAGCCCUUGAUCAUACAUUCAAAGCUCACAAAAUUCCCGAUAACUUCCUCGGGGGUCAUUUGAGUAUAUCUAGGAUUACCACGAAUUAAUUGAACUUGAGUGGGGUUAAGGAAAAUGAGUGAUCUAAGAAUAACCUUAACCACCUCGUGGUCAUCCCACUUCUUGCUCCCGAGGUUGCGCACUUGGUUCACCAAAGUCUUGAGCCGGUUGUACAUGUCUUGUGGCUCUUCCCCUUGGCGAAGUCGAAAGCGACCGAGCUCCCCCUCGAUCGUUUCCCGCUUGGUGAUCUUUGUUAGUUCAUCACCCUCGUGCGCGGUCUUGAGGAGGUCCCAAAUUUCCUUUGCACUCUUCAACCCUUGCACCUUGUUGUAUUCCUCUCUAUUUAGAGAGGCCAAGAGUAUGGUUGUGGCUUGGGAGUUGAAGUGCUCGAUUUGGGCCACCUCGUCCUCAUCAUAAUCCUCAUCCCCUUCGGAUGGUACCUGUGCUCCAAACUCAACAACAUUCCAUAUACUUUUGUGGAGUGAGGUUAGAUGAAAUUUCAUUAAAUCACUCCACCUAGCAUAAUCUUCACCGUCAAAGGUUGGCAGUUUGCCUAAUGGAACAGAAAGUAAUGGAGUAUGUCUAGAUGUACGAGGAUAGUGUAAAGGGAUCUUACUAAACUUCUUGCGCUCUUGGCGCUUAGAAGUUACGGAUGGCGCAUCGGAGUCGGAGGUCGAUGUUGAUGAAGUGUCGGUCUCGUAGUAGACCACCUUCCUCAUCCUUUUGUGCUUGUUGCCUUUCCGAUGUGACUUGUGGGAAGAAGAUUUUUCCUUCUUCUCUUUGUGGUGUGAGGAAGAAGAUCUUUUCUCCUUCCGUUUGGAGGAGUCCUUCUUCCUCUCCUUCCUCUUGGUGCGGGACUCUUCCGAUGAAGUGCUCCCUUGGCUUGUAGUGGGCUUGUCGCCGGUCUCCAUCUCCUUCUUGGCGUGAUCUCCCGACAUCACUUCGAGCGGUUAGGCUCUAAUGAAGCACCGGGCUCCGAUACCAAUUGAUAGUCGCCUAGAGGGGGGGUGAAUAGGGCGAAACUGAAAUUCUUAAAAAUAAACACAACUAUAAGCCGGGUUAGCGUUAGAAAUAUAAACGAGUCCGCGAGAGAGGGCACAAAACAAAUCGCAAGCAAAUGAAGAGUGUGACACGCGGAUUUGUUUUACCGAGGUUCGGUUCUCGCAAACCUACUCCCCGUUGAGGAGGCCACAAAGGCCGGGUCUCUUUCAACCCUUCCCUCUCUCAAACGGUCCCUCGGACCGAGUGAGAUUCUUUUCUCAAAUCAAAGCCGGGAACAAAACUUCCCCGCAAGGGCCACCACACAAUUGGUGCCUCUUGCCUUGAUUACAAUGGAGUUUUGAUCACAUGAAUAAGUGAGAAAGAAAAGAAGCAAUCCAAGCGCAAGAGCUCAAAAGAACACGACAAAUCUCUCUCUCUAAUCACUAAAGUCUUGAGUGGAAUUUGAGAGGAUUUGAUCUCUUUGUAUGUGUCUAGAAUUGAAUGCCUAGCUCUUGUAAGUGGUUGAGAAGUGAGAAACUUGGAUGCAAUGAAUGGUGGGGUGGUUGGGGUAUUUAUAGCCCCAACCACCAAACUUGACCGUUGGUGGAGGCUGUCUGUCGAUGGCGCACCGGACAGUCCGGUGCACACCGGACAUGUCCGGUGCCCCCGCCACGUCAUCACUGUCGUUGGAUUCUGACCGUUGGAGCUUCUGACUUGUGGGCCCCCCUGGCUGUCCGGUGCACACCGGACAUCUCCUGUUCAUUGUCCGGUGUGCCAGUAUGGGCGCGCCUGACUUCUGCGCGCGUGCAGUGCGCAUUAAAUGCGCCGCAGGUAGCCGUUGGCGCCGAAAUAGCCGUUGCUCCGGAGUUGCACCGGACAGUCCGGUGAAUUAUAGCGGACUAGCCGUUGGAGAUUCCCGAAGCUGGCGAGUUUCUGAGGCCGCUCUUCCUUGGCGCACCGGACACUCCGGUGUACAUCGGACAGUCCGGUGAAUUAUAGCGCGAGUGCCUCUGGAAAUUCCCGAAGGUGGCGAGUUCGAGUUGGAGUCCUCUGGUGCACCGGACAUGUCCGGUGGUGCACCGGACACUGUCCGGUGGCACACCGGACAGUCCGGUGUGCCCGACCAGAGGUGCCUUCGGUUGGCCCUUUGCUCCUUUGUUGAAUCCAAAACUUGAUCUUUUUAUUGGCUGAGUGUGAACCUUUUACACCUGUAUAAUCUAUACACUUGGGCAAACUAGUUAGUCCAAUUAUUUGUGUUGGGCAAUUCAACCACCAAAAUCAAUUAGGGACUAGGUGUGAGCCUAAUUCCCUUUCAGCUAUGUAACACCCACUUUGUAAUUUGCUAGAAAUAAUACCAAUAGAGAAACAAUUUCUCCUUAUAUGGGUUUGACCUUCAUGCAUCAUCAUAUGUGAACACCAUGUCCAAGAACAAUUAAUAAAAAGAUAUGCUAUUAAAUCAUGCAUCAUGCUGGAUUUUGUUUUGUUUGCAUUUUGUGACAACAUAAAAUAUUUUGAAGAAGAAAUAAAUUAAAUUCCCAAAAUAGAAUUUAAAAUCUAAAAGGGAAUUCUAGAAUUUAGGAAAGAGAGCACUAGUUAUCAUGAAAUGAGUAUUAAAAAUAGAUAAAUUUAUCCAUACCAUGUCUAGGAUGAAUGAUUAAUGAGAAAACAAAUCUACCAGAAAGUUUGAAUUUGAAUGACAUUUAGACUUUAUGAAUGUAAAAAAAAUAAAAAAAAGAAAAGAAAGGGAAAAGAAAAAGGAGAUAAACCUCUAUUGGGCCACAAAACCAAAUUCUAGCCCACCCUUUUCCUUCGCUCGACUCAACAGAACGUGUGUGACUUCCGCACGUUGGUGCCGACCAGUGGGCCUGCUAUGUCAAUGUCACCGCAAACGCUGUUGCGCAGGCACCUGUUUGGUCCAAUGGCGCGUGGGGCCACGUCGUUAGCUCAUCCUUCUCCCCCGCGCGUGCACAGUCGUGUUACACUGCUUCGUGGGCCCCAGCCGGCAGAUCCAUCCCCAUUUCCUCUCCCUAUCUCUUCUCCUCUUCCUGCGGGCGGAUGGAGGAGUGGCUCCGUGGAGCUCGGGCCGUUCGUCACGCGAAUCUCGCUCCUCGUCGACCGCUUCUUCCCCUGAAAUCGGGCUCGACUCUGGGAUAAAAAAAUCAAACGCCGCCAACCCAGCUCUCGGCCUCCGUCUCAUCGCCAUGAGAACCAGGAAUCUGACGCGGGACCGCCCCGCUUCCAUGGUGACGACAUCUACUGGGCUGCUCCUCUCCCUUGCCCUCCUCUCCUUCACCUGUGUGUCAUCGCCGUCGCAGUCGCCGGAUUUGGAGGCAAUCUCCCGGUUCCAGGAGCACCUCUGUAUCGAUACGGCGCAGCCGGCGCCAGACUACGCCGUGGCCUUCCCCCGAAAGCAGUCCUCCGUGGCUGGGUGCGUGGCACGCACGCUUCGGCUGGUCGCUGGGUACCCCGCCUCAUCGCGGGGAGAUAUGCCCGUGGCCGAGUCGGGGAGAAGAAGGGAGGUGAGAAAAGUGCGUGUCGCCGCGGAAGAUCCCUGCUGGGCCUGCCGGUCUGGCCUCGGCGACUGGUCGGGGGGGAAACGGAGCUUGUGAGGAGGAUGUGCGACGGAAGCUCGGAGCGCAUGAUUAAUGGGACCGUCGGCGAUUUCUCACCGUCGCUGGCACUUCUACUUGAGUCCGCCCCGCGUCGUCGCCGUGGCUCUCGGCUAUAAGGCACAUGGUAAGGGUUCACCAGAUCAAUCCGUCGUGGCACCUGCAUUGUGUUGCAUCUAGUCGAUUUGGGAUUCUUGUACCGAAAGGUUGUCUUGGCCACUCCGGCGGGCUCGCCGUCGGGUGUGCGCGCGCCGCCGUGCUGGUUCAGCUGAUGGGUGAUGAUAGCUGCUGGUCGUAGAUUAGCCUGUGUGCGGUUCAGAUUAGAAUCAAGGCAACAGUUUGCGUAAGUGUGAUCUGAGCCGUUGAUGUCAAAUCGGACGUGUGAGGCUAGGACUCGGUUACGAGGAGUGCGGGCGGUUGAUCCCCGAUCCAACGGUGGGAUCUCUUACCGUUUCGUUUUAUGUUAGAUCAGAUCUGGACCGUAGCCUUUAAAUCCAACGGUUCUAGUUAACUCAUACCCCUUCGGCUCUGGCAGUCUUUCAAAAGAGUCCUCAACCUUUCAAGGAUUUAACCCGCCGUCCGUAUGGAUGUGGUUCUGAGUCUUAGGGCAUUUUUCGCAGAAGUCCUUGUGUCUUCUGUAAAUAUUGCGCCCAGUCCAGGAAAUUAGAAAAUCAGGGAAAAUGAAAUAGGAAUUUAUUUUUAAUGCAAAAAUAAAUACUAGAACUUGUGUAAAUCAUAGAAUAUCCAUAAUAACUCCAAAUUAAUCCAUUCCAGUUCCUAAAAUUUUGUAAUUUUGUUAUAUAUCACCUAGAGCCUCUGUUAUGUCAUGAAAACAGUAAGAAAAUUUAUUUCACACUUAAUCCUAUUUUAAACACAUGAAACCUUGGAAAAUCCAUAACUUAAAAUCUAUAACUCGAAAAAUUAUGAUUUCUGUUCCUAGAAUUUUAGUUUAAUAUGUAGAUUAUUACUGUGUAUUUUGUUCAUAUGUUUGGUGUAAUGUUAAUUUCUCUAUAUGUACUGUGCUUGUUUGUAUUGUGGCGAGUAGAAGAACCCGUUACUGAAGAUCCUGGUGAGCAGCAGGUUGAAGUAGCUGAGCAGGAGCUCAUUGAAGGCAAGUUGUGCCCUUGAUCACUUUUUACCCAAUAAUGUUCUUUAAUAUCAUUUACUCAUGCAUAGGUUAAUUUUGACGGGACCCGAUAGGUCAUCCUAGAUUGUUUAUCUCAUUACCUUGUUUACCCCUGAAUCACUUGGGUAGUUUGCUAUUGCUUUAUAUGGUUUUGGGAUAAUCAUUUAUUACCUCUAUGUUCCAAUUCUUUUUGUUAUUCUAUUUAUGUUCAUGUUGAGAUCAUUAAUGUUAAUUGGAACAUAGAGCUUAACUUGAGUAACACGUGCCACCACAAGGGUUUAAUGGGACGCCCUUGGCUGAUUAAUUAGGAAAGCUAGUGGAAGACUACCUUGGGCAAGGGCAGUAGGGGAGUGGUCAGUGUAGGGAGGUCCUUGCUUGAUUUUGCUGCGAUGGCGGUCAGGCAAGAACCCUGCAUUGGAACUUCCUAUAAACUGUAGCGGGUUUUCGAAAGCUAGUGGAACUUUGUAAAGGCCUCGUAGUGUUGCCCUGCCGCGCUUCCUAGGUAGAGGUGUAUGGGAUUCGCGACCCCUUGGCAGAUGGGUAGCAUGACUUGUGGGUAAAGGGUACAACCUCUGCAGAGUGUAAAACUGGUAUACUAGCCGAGCUCACGGUCAUGAGCAGCUCAGGACUCUCUGAUGUUUAAAUUAUGGAACUUAAAUUCAAUUUUGUCAUUUGCAUUGCAUGGGUUUAUUAUUAAUUUUGUUCUACUACUUUACUUAUGGUUUGGUAUUUACUUACACUUAGUAACUGCUAAUAAAAAUUUGACCAACUACUUAAAAGCAAUGCUCAGCUUUAACCCCUAUCAUUGAUUAGCCGUACACAUCACAUGAACUCACACCUUUGUGAGUUUAUGUCUACUGGUUCCCCACAACAUGUUGAGCUAUGAUCAUGUGUGAGCUCACCCUUGCUGUCUCACACCCCCCCCCCCCCACAGGAGAAGAACAGGUGGUUCAGGAGGAGCCACAAGGCGAGGAGUAUGAUCUGAUCUAGGUGGCGUUUCUCAGUUGACAUUUGCGCCGACGAUCCUUAGUUCGUUUUAUCUUUAUUAUUUUAUUUUGUAAUAAGUCUUUCGCUAUGUAAUAAAUACUCUGAUGUUUUAUGACAUUUAUCUCUAUACACUCUGUUAUUAUAUAUGUUGUCUUCUUGGCGCAUGUAUGAGAUGCACCUGGCUUUGUUCCUUAAAGCCGGGUGUGACAGGCUACCGCGUGGCGCCCCACUAAUAGUGAACACAAUCAGCCAGUUCGGAUGUACCACCGGACAGACU